GCCGGGCAAGGUGGCUCAUGCCUGUAAUCCCAGCAUUUUGGGAGGCUGAGGCGAGUGGAUCACUUGAGGUCAGGAGUUCGAGACCAACCUGACCAACAUGGUGAAACCCUGUCUCUACUAAAUACAAAAAAUUAGCCAGGUGUGGUGGUGCAUGCCUGCUGAGGCGAGUGGAUCACUUGAGGUCAGGAGUUCGAGACCAGCCUGACCAACAUGGUGAAACCCUGUCUCU
rnacentral:sRNA from 1 species